GGCAACGGGUUUCCUAAAUUUUUUAAAGUUAAGUCAAUUUAUCACUUUUUACAGUGUAUUUUCCUGUUUGACUCUGUAAAGCUGCUUUGACACAAUCAGUAUUGUAUAAAGCGCUAUGUAAAUAAAGGUGACUUCACUGUAAAAAAUUGCUGUAGUUUCUACAGCAAAAUUUUACAGAAUUUUACUGUUUAAACAUUUUACAAGAUUUAGCUGUAAUUCGCAAUGCAUUAUGGGUCAAAUAAGGUUUUACAGUUGUUAACUGUAUAUUUCUAUGUCAACUGUAAUUAAUUUACAAGAAGCAGGUGUUAUCACUGUAGCUCCUGCUUUUUACACUACUUUACUGUAGGGUGGCAUUAUGGGAUUGUGCGCGCAUCGUUCAAAUCUGAAAUCCAGCCGACUGGAGCAGUGCCAGAACUAUUGAAGAUUAGAGGCGUUAUUCAUAAUUCCUGGUGCAAAGAAUAGCAGCUGAUGUGGAGAAACGUUUGAUGCUUCAAGACUCUCUGAAGCUGAUUAUAUUAGGUGCACCCAGUGGCUUUUGACUAGGCCUAUUCGAGGGUCACAUGGUUGUGAAUACACACCUCAACUUUGCGGCUGGAAUUUCAGUCUUAUUACAACUUCAGCCUGGCGUCCCGGGUGCAGGGGACUUUUGCACACUUGAAUUAAUUUCAAAGAUGUUUUGUUGGAAUCACAACACUCACUGGAUACAAGACGGAUACAGAGAGGCAAAACAAGUGGAAAGGUCUCAGAGAAGAGGGACAACCCUCAUGUGUGUGCUCAUCUCAGAAAGUUGAUGGACUUUCAGUAUGUAUUUAUUAAAUUGUCUUUUGCAGGAAUAUUCUAAAUUUAAUAUAACAUAAGCUCAAACAACAGAAUUUGUGGUAUAAUGUUGAUUCCAGCAUUUUAUUUUAAUCCUUUAACCAAAAUUAUACAAAUUCUGUUGAUUGACCUUAAUUUUUUUAUAGAAAGUAAAUGUUCUACUCAGAAUAUGGCUUAUUUUUUGUGAUAUAACAGUUAUUUGUAGUUAUUUUGUGAUGCUAUGCUAUUUUUAUGAUAAGAUUUUAACUGUUGAAAGACUGACAUUUUUAUUUUUACCAGUAAAAGCCUUGCAAUGUCUUUCUGCCAGUUUUAAUAAAUAUUUAUUUGCAACAUCUUUGACUUGGUUUUUAUUCAUUUGUAAAUGUAUUAAGAUAGUUCUCAUGAUAAUUCAUUUAAAUCAGUAUUUUACAGUUUACUGUUAAAAUUAUUCUUUGCAGCAUUUUCAU